AUGCACUGCUUGCUUUUAGUGUGUCCCCCCACCCGCCCCAUGCCCCCAGCAGCCCCUCGUGGCGUGUCCCUCACCCCCAGCAGCUCGACGCCUUGCAUGGAGCUGCAUGUGAGUGGCACACGGGGGGGUGGCUCUGUACCCGUGGUGUCCCGUGACAUGCUGAGGGGAUCAGUCGGGGCAAGGGGACCAGAGCCAGAAGGGCUCCAUCACCCCUGGGACACUGGUUCUGUGCUGGGGCUCCUGCCCCAAACUGGUGGGGAUGUCCUUGGCCUGGGGGUGAUGGCACGGGGACAUCCCGGUACCAGGGGACAUCCUCGUCCUGGGGAGGGACAGGCACUGGGGAAGGGGCCACGGGAGGCCCCCGGGUGGCGGCGCACAGCCCCGUGCCGGGGGAGGAGCGGGGGCAUCGCGGUGCGGCUCCGGGAGGACGCCCCCCGUUGCGCGGAGCAUCCCGCCGCCAAGGAGCAUCCCUGGCCGGGGCUGCGCCGGGGCCGUGCCGCUCACCUUCCCCGCGGCCCCCCCCCGUCCCCUCCAUCCUCCCGGUGCCCGGUACUCACAUCUCCAGCAGGCGUCCCGCCCGCCCGCCGCGCUCAUGGCCCCGCCGGAGCCCGGCCCGGCACGGCCCGGCACGGCCCCCCCCGAGCGGCUCCGGGCCGAGCGCGCCGCCCCCGAGCCGUACCACGCCGCCGACGGCAGGGGGAGCGGGGCGAACCACGGCGGGGGCGGCCGGGGGUGGGCGAGACCCCCCCGGUUCCGAGCUGCCCCCCAUGCCGGGGGUCCCCCGAGCCCCGCCGGGGGAGGCUCCGCGCUCUCCGUGCGCCCCGCGUCCCGUGCGCCACGGGGGGACGGCCGGUGCCGGCCCCUUCCCAGGAGUCGUGUCCCGUCCUGGGGGGAGCUUCUGGCCUCCGCAGGACCCCCCGCAUCCUCUGCAGGACCCUCGUAGCCCCGUGGUCCGGCCCCAUCCCACUCUCCCACCGUGUCCCCGUGUCCCCACCACGGCUGCUGGGACCCGCUGGGGACACUGGGCACCAGCCAAGUGCGAGCCCCUGGGUGCAGCGUGGGCAGGACGGGGGCUGUGGCCGAAAUGAAGAGGUCGAGGAGACAAAAGGGCUCUUCCGAAUGGAGAGGUCUUUGUUAUCCGCCCGGUUGGUGGCAGGGGACCCACGGUGCCAGGCUGGUGGCUUUGUGGCGAUGCCCGUGUCCUGCUGCCGGCGGCACCACGCUGAGCCUGGCCCUCACCCUGAGCCAUGCCAAGGUUUGUGCCACCCAAAGGCCACUCCUGGCUCCUCGCCAGCCACCAGUUUAAGCUGUCCCAGGCUGGGCAUCUCCUUGCCAUGGUGGUUGUCAACAGAGGAAGGCGAGGAGCAGAAGAUGACACCGCGUCUGGGAUGCUGA
rnacentral:lncRNA from 1 species